AAAGUGCUGAGAUUACAGGCGUGAGCCACCGCACCCACCUCACAGGUUGUUUUUUAACAAGGAUUAAAGUGGAAGAGGAUUAAAAUGAGACAUCUGUGGGACCUGCUUAGGCUGGGGCUCAGGAUGUGCAGUGAUUAUUCCGCACCGUGGUGAUGGUGGCAGUGGUCAUCGUUCCUAUGGUGAGUCCUGAAAAGAGCGUUGAUUUUCUGAAGACAGGAACAUGUCUUCUGUCUCAGUCUUCUCUGCCCUCCCGCCCACUCCUACUCCCCCGCCCCGCCGACCCCGACCCCGCCCCAGUGCCCUGCAGAGGGAGCCUGCUGGGCAUGGGUAGAGAGCCCAUGAGAACCUGGUGCAGGUGGAAGGAAAGGGGACCCCACAGGGAAGGUAGAAGGGCCAGGGCUUUCCCCAGCAGUGGCCAGAUCUGAACAGAGAUGACUCUGUGUUGCUGUGGCCACUCCAGACCCCAGACCGCAGCCUGAUAUCCAAGCUCCCGAGGGAGCAGAAUGCAUCAGCCACCUCAGAGAGGAGGCGCAGCCCAGUCAGGGCCCCACGUUGUCACGGCUCCAGCUGUCCUCAGGAGGGAAACUGUCUUGCAAGCCUGGAGACUUCUGGUUGCUUCUCGGAGGAAAGGUAGCAUCUCCCUUCCUUUCUGGGAAACAAACAUUCCCGAGUACCAACUGCGUGCCAGGCCCAUUGCUAGCUGCAAUCUUAGGCGAGUCCCAAACCUCUCUGAGACUUGGGCCUGUCAUCUGGAAACAGAGUAGUCUAUAAAAGAUUGACUUCAAAGGGCUGUGAGGACAGUCAAAGAGACCAUAAAGCACAGAGCUUGGGCAGGGGUGGGCAUUCAGGAGAGGUGGUGGCCCCUUCCCCUGUGCCUGCCCCUGGGAAACCCUGUCCCCUACCUGGCUGGCAGCACAGGAGACGUGGAGAAGGGACAACCCGGUCUGGGGACGGGGCGGUUUCUCCAGGCUGGGCUGCCACUGUCUUCCUUCCCUGUGUGGGUGGUGGCUCAGGGCCUGGUGGUCUGCCACAAAGGUCCAGAAGGUCCACCCUUUCUGGUGGCUGGGGGUGGCAGUCAGGGGCUUCAGGACAAGCCUCUGGCUGCUGUGGCCCCCUACCCUUCCUCUGCACCUUGGGAGCCCCAGCCCCUGGGCUGUCUGAGUCUAUGCUAACAAAGUAGGAGCCAGAAACGUUCCUUUAGACACAGGUCACUGUGAGCCUUGGCUAAGCCUGGGGACCUCUUCUCGGCCCUGGCUACGGCCCAGAUGCCCACCCUGAACCUUCCACGAGUCAGGGCAGGCACCAUUUCCCCAGGACCAGCUGAGCAGUAAAGUCUCUUCUGGUUUAUCUGGAGGAAGGAAAAUGACGUCAUGAGGUAAACCGCACAGCCUGAAACCACGAGGCUGGGCGCCCCAGUGAUGUUUGCUUUUCAGCAAAAGUCACCAUGCACACAGAGGGACAGGGAGCCCAGGCCAUUGUGGUCAGAGGGUCAGGGGGAAGACAGAGGGAGAUUUUUUAACACGGAACCACAAGGAAGGAGAGGCCCCCGGAGAGGACGGACGUCAGAGGCCAGAGGGCGGCUUCCUGGGGUGCUGUGAGAGACUUGUCACCUGCUGGGUGGGGCAGUCUCUGCUGGUGUCUCACGAGGUCUCGGGCUUGGCACCUGAGGCAUGCAAAGUCACGUUUGCCAUGGCGGGCACAAUAAUAGUGGCAAGAAUAAUAAUAUCGAUAACGCAUCCUGACCAUGUGUCUCUGUAGCCCUGUCACCUCCUCACCACCGUCCCAUAAGACGGGACCCUGCGAGGCAGACGCAGCCUGCACACAGAGGAGGGAGGGGAGGCUGCUGGGGCUCCGGCCUGUGCUUUCGCCUCCAGACCAUGGAGCUUCUUCACCCACAUGCUGGGUGCCGUCCAGCCUGAGGCCUGUGUGCAGGGUCCCGGUUUCAAGCCCCGAUUCCCACCUGCUAACUGUGACCCAGGAAGCCCCACCCCCCGCAGCCCUCAGUUUCUUCACCUGCCAAACUCCCUGCCUUCGAGGUCCCGCUGGGGCUCAGCUGCCCAACUCUGAUCAGAAAGAAGAGCUGUAAGUCUGGCUGGGCGGUGGCUCAUGCCUCUAAUCCCAGCACUUUGGGAGGCCAAAGAGGAUGGACUGCUUGAGCCCAGGAGUUCGGGACCAGCCUGGGUAAUGUGGCGAAACCCUGUCUCUACAAAAAAUACAAAAAUUAGCCAGAUGUGGUGAUGUGCGGCUGUAGUCCCAGCUACUCAGGAGGCUGAGGUGGGAGGAUCACUUGAGGCCAGGAGGUCAAGGCUGCCAUGAGCUAAGAUCACAACACUGCAUUCCGGCCUGGGUAACAGAGCAAGACCAUGUCUCUAAGAGAGGGGGGAAAAAAAGCCAUGGGUGUCUAAGCUGCAAGGCCCCCCAAAUCCCUGAAUCCCACUAACCAUCUCCCAAGUGAGUAGAGGGAGGCCAAGAGAGGGCAAGCAGCUGUCUCAUGUCUUCCCUGAAGGAACCCUCUCAUGGGACAGCUGGACACAGCCAGGCGGGAAGGACUCUUCACCAGCCCCGUCUCCAUAGUCCCGGCUGCCAUCACUGCUGGCAUCGACACUGACCCUCCAGCUCCAGCACCAGGUCACCACCCUGCCCCUCAUCCAUCCUCCUCCUCCACGCGUGAUGAAUGAGCUUUUCUCAUUCAAUCAUUCUCAGGGGCAGCAUAGCGUGGCCAGUAGGAAGGAGGAUGCGGGAGCCAGCCUGCCUGGCUCCACCACCCACCAGCUGCUUUUAUUCCCUGCCUGCUCUAGUUCCCUGGCUGUAAAAUGGGGAUACAAAUAAUAUCUUCCUCAUCAGGUCACUGGGAGGCUUAAAUAAGCCCAUACUGUAAAGUGCUUAGAACAGGGCCUGCCACGUAGUAAGUACUCCAUAAUUGCUAUCAUUCAUCCAUUCAUUCAUUCAUUCAUUCAUUCGUGAAUUCUAUCCUGCCUGUUUCUGAAAGAGUUGAGAUGACUCACAGUGGAAAUGCAAUGAUAACAGGCCUUUAAAUUCAGAUUAAAAGAACACAAGCCUAGGCUGCAGAGGAGAGAGUGUCCCAGAAUCUGAGCCAAGCAAGCCUCACCUGAAUACAACCUCCCGGCGUCUCAUCCAAAACAUAAAGGUUGCUGGUAUCAAUUCUCCUUUUCUGAUGAAAGGAAGCAUAACAGCUUUCCAGCGGAAUAGAAGAUUUUUUUUUGGUUCAAACUUUAUGAAUGACAUUAAACAAUGCAAUGAGUAGCCUCCCCCUCACCUCACCCUGUCCGCCUUUUUAAUCAACUCCUGAGAAAUGGGGUCUGCUCUUCUUCCCAUCCCACUCCCCAUCUCCAGACCCUGCGGAAGCCUGUGGUCCUGGAGAGCCUGAGAGCCCUCAGAGCGAUACCUUCAGCUAUCCCAGGAGAAGGACACUCUUCGCUUUCAGCACCAGGGGAAAACUAGGAAAAAGCCAAGCCACUGAGUCAAUGAGGGCCUUCCCUCAGCUGCAGACAGCAAGCCCCUUCCAGGCGCUUCCCCGCAGCUACGGCAGCAAGUGCCCCAGGGGCAGGGCCGGGAAUGCUCACUGAGAAAUCCCAGAGCUGCCUGCACUUCCUCUCACCGGCUUCCCCUUCUCUCAGCAGCCACAGGCACGGGAAAGCUGCUGAUUCCCGGAGGACCACUUACACCAAGCACUGUGAGCUGAUCGAUGGCAGAGUCUCUCCAGCUCAUGAGUCUUCAGUGACUCCCCAUUGUCCAUGGAAAACAGAAGACACCUGAGGCCUUGCACAGUGGACCUUAUUCUCAUCCCUCCCUCAGGAGAAUCCUCUGCCUCGAGCCGAAGGCCGUGGGCUCUGCAGACUCCAGGCCUCUCCUUCCCAGGGCGGUCUUCCCUUUCCCUAUGCUCAAGGCACAGCCCAAGUCCCACCUCCUCCAUUGCAAGGGACACCACCCUCUGAAUUCCUGUUGGGGAAAGAGCCUAGUUUUGCAGCCAGAUAGGCCCGAGUUAGAGUCUCAGCUCAGUUCCAAUCCCAUUAGCUGGUUGCAAGUCAUUAACUUUGUCAACCUUCAGUAAAUGGAAAUCAGGCCCACACUGUAGGUGCCUGGGGGUGCUGAUGGUUGAGUGGAAUCUGUUCUUUUGACCUUCCCAGCAUCUUUCCCCUUCCCAGCAUCCUUUCCCCUUUCUUUUGGUGAUGUCGCCUGGAUUUUCUGUUGGGUAUGUGGUCCAGGGGUGGCUGACCUCACUUCCUGGUUCCAGCAUAAGAUCAUGACUGAGAGCUGGCCAAUGAGAAUAUUCCCUCGCCCCAGCCACAGAGUCAGAUUCCCGGGGAUGAACUUGUGAGUCAAAACAGGCUGGUGGGAACACACUUGGGGUGUUAGCUGGAGUUAUUGAAGCUUUCUUUCCCACUGGAGUCACUAGGUAGAUAGAAGGAAAGCUGAAGCCUUUAGCCACUGCUGUGGGUUGAAGUGUGUACCCCAAAAAGAUAUGUUCAAAUUCUAAUCCCCUGCACCUUUGGAGGUGGCCUUGUUUGGAAAAAGGGUCUUUGCAGAUGUAGGCAAGUGAAGAUGAAGCCAUCCUGGAUCAGGGUGGCUUGUGGCUUGUGUCCAAUGCCUUGUGUCCUUCUAAGAAGAGAGAAAUCGAGACACAGACACACACAGGGAAAAGGCCGAGUGAUGACAGCAGCAGAGAUGGGAGCGCGGCAGCUACAAGCUGAGGGAUGCCAAGCAUGGCUGGCACCACCCAGGAGCCUGGAGAGAGGGAGGGGACAGCCUCCUCCUUAGAGCCUCGAAACACCCUACCCACAUCCUGGCUUCAGACUUCCAGCCUGCACAACUGGGAGAGAAUCACUUUCUGCUGUGUUAAGCUACACUAGUUCAUGGUGAUUUGUUACAGCAGCUGCAGGAAAUGAACACAGACACCAAAUGGAGAUACUGUGUCUGAGAUUGAAGCCAGCACCGUGGAAUCAGAGCUGCCAGGAGGGAGACGUGGACUCUCGACCCUGUGGCCACACUUGGUUCCCCCAGCAGCUGAAGCACGAAGUCUACUGGACUUACUAGACUUUCCAGUUACCUGGACCAAUAUAUUCUCUGUUUUACUUAAGCUGUUUCGAUUGGAUUUCUGGCUAUUUCAACUGAGAGAGGCCUAACUCUCAGUUAUACAGAGACAAUGGAUGUAAAAUGCAUUGAAGGCCAGGCACAGUGGCUCGCGCCUGUAAUCCCAACACUUUGGAAAGCCAAGGCAGGAGGAUGGCUUGAGCCCAGGAGUACGAGACCAGCCUGGGAGACGUGGCAAAACGAAACCCCGUUUCUACAAAAAAAUACAUUAAACCAUUUUAAAAAGAAAAUAUAAAAUGUAUUGCAUGCUGCCUGGCCAAUGGGAGACAGUGGAGUGAAUGUAGGAAGUAGUUAGUAGAGUAAAUGGUAUUUAUU
rnacentral:lncRNA from 1 species